AUUGAACGCUGGCGGCAGGCCUAACACAUGCAAGUCGAACGAGUGGCGGACGGGUGAGUAAUGUCUGGGAAACUGCAUGAUGGAGGGGGAUAACUACUGGAAACGGUAGCUAAUACCGCAUACCAUCGGAUGUGCCCAGAUGGGAUUAGCUAGUAGGUGGGGUAAAGGCUCAACUAGGCGACGAUCCCUAGCUUGUCUGAGAGGAUGACCAGCCACACUGGAGUGGAGACACGGUCCAGACUCCUACGGGAGGCAGCAGUGGCGAAUAUUGGACAAUGGGCGCAAGCCUGAUGUAGCGAUGCCGCGUGUAUGAAGAAGGCCGUCGGGUUGUAAAGUACUUUCAGCGGGGAGGCGUUACACGCAGAAGAAGCACCGGCUAACUGCGUGCCAGCAGCCGCGGUAAUUC
rnacentral:rRNA from 1 species